AAAUAUUUACUUUGCCCAUCACAAAUGUGAAUUUGAGUCUACAAAGCCAGCCUUCUCAGCCAGCCUGUAACUGGGAUGCAUCCUUUGUCAAGCUUUGUUUGUGCUUACUCAGUUUAGGAGUAAAUAUCUCCAAGUACACUUCCAAUAGGACAUGGCAAACAGUCUUUAUUAAAUAGUGGUAUCUUGAAUGGAGGGGUGGAAUAGCAGUGAGAAGAAACCCCAUAGACAGUGAGGGCAUCCUGUGACAAUGUGAUUCCUUAAGCCAGGCUGUGCAGAUGAGGUAAGAUUACCCUUAGCUUGCUUAUGAGCUAGGCAGGGAUUGCAGCAACCAAACAUAAAGCCCAGCACAACCUGUGAGCAAAAGCUCUUAUACCAGGUCUGCUGGCUUGGGAGACAGAAGAGUGGUGUGAAGGCCUGCAAGGGCAUAGCAGAUGUCACUCGGUGGGCAUGUGCAUGCCCUGGCUCUAAUUGGGCAGGUUUCUGAGCCUUUGAGCCUUGCAAACAUGGAGCUCCUGCUCAAAGCUGAGGAAAAGAGCUGACUCUGAGUUCCUGCAUCCCAAAGGCAUGCUUGAAACCCUAAGAAAGAGUACAAUUCUGUGGAUGUAAAGCAGACAGACACACCUGGAAGAGGAAACACCAGUGCAAAACAAGGGACUUGCCAUUAAGGGCUGCAUGAGAUGGCUCCUGCUCAAGGCAGGCAUCUGGCCACCCUGGGAAGUCCAUGAGAGGAGACUGAAGUAGUGAAACCCUACAGCUUUCAGAGAUUUCGGAAGGGACGCCAUGACUGAACAUGCCUGGUUAAGCAGUUAUUUGCCUCUGCAAGCAACUCAGACCUCCUUGUGGUCUGUUGGUGAGAGCACUGCCUGCAAAAUCAGACUUCAGUGACUGAUAAACACACAAAUAACUCAAUUGCUGGGGGGUAUGUAAGCGUCUUGGACACUCACAGGCGCUAACAUGACUCCUGCGCAGAGCUCUCCAGUUGUUGUGUGCUCAGGUCUGGGUUUCCCAACAGAGGUUUGCUGCUCGCUGCCUGCACCCUGGAAGGAAGCUGUCACCUGAGGAAAACCUCUCUGAACUACAGUAAGUAGCAGUAGGGAAAUACCUUACAUCAGAGGCUGAAGGUGCCACUUUGUUAUGCUCUCUAACUGCAUGAGGCAGAUGUCUUUGCUUGCAUGGCUGAUG